AGGAUAGUAGUUAAUAAUAAUAUUUGAGUUGCAAUCAAAAGGGAAUGAUAUUUUCAUUCUAUCUU
rnacentral:tRNA from 1 species